AAGAAGCCGCUUGUUUCCAUCUACACGCCUGAAAAGCAUUUCUACCAACUAAUCCCACUAUGUAGGUGGACACACAUCUUUCGAAGUAAGGUAUAGAGACCCAUUUAAAGACUAGUAACUCGUGUAGUGAAAUUAAUAGUCAAUGUUGAUCUAUUGUUCGCAUGUUGUAUUUCAGGAAGUUGGAUUGUAGUAUUGAUAUGCUUGGAAAACUAGUCUUGACAUGUUGUAAUUCAGAUUGUAGUAUUGGUUGUCCUGGUGUUUCUUCUGCCACAAUAGUCAAUGUUGAUCUAUUGUUGACAUGUAUUUGAGGAAGUUGGAUCCCUUCAUCUGCUUUGAUCUUCUUCCUUGUGUCUUUGGUUUUGUAGUAUUGAUUUGCUUGGAAAACUAACUUGAGUGUGAUAAUGGCAUUUUCCUCUACAAAUGUGAUAAUUUUACGUGAAGAAAUUUUUUUACUUGAAUUGAUGAUUUCCCAUUUGUCGUUGUUUACCAUCGCAAUAUGAAAGGGAAUAAUGUUGGAAUAUUUCAUAGUUGUCGAAGCAAGUGGCACUCAUUCGGAGAAUGCACGAGAAAACGUCGUUGCCCAUGGUGUCCACAUGGAUUUCAGAAAUGUUUCGAGGUUGAGAAGCAAACAAGUAACAAAGGGUGAUUAUUCAACACUUGUAGUAAUAACUGUGGGUUUUUCGACUGGGUAGAUGAAGGACAAACAAGUGAAGAAGUUAGUACAGAUAAUGAAGUGAUAAACGUUGCGGGAAAUGAGGAAGUUGAAGAUUUGUCAAUCAUGCUUGAUACUCUAGCCCGAAGAACCGAGAAACGAGACGUCGAGGUGUCAUUGCAAGUGACAUUCCGCAAAGGAAAAGGAUGUUUGGACUGGAAUGGGAAACAGGACGGACCGGCUUGAUUAUUAGUUUUCAUCAUUACAAAAUUCGCAUAAUAUUUGUAAUUUAAAGACUUGUGCGGCGUCACUAUGUGUUUUGUAUAAAACCUUCCAACAAUUUUUGUCAAAUGCAUCUUAAGUUUCGUUGUUAGGUUCUGGAUUACUUCUAUACAUUUUGCCUCCAUCAUACUGCUAA